rnacentral:lncRNA from 1 species
UGCAACGAGAAAUUCUCGCACCGGAGGCGUCCUUCAGCUGGCCCCUAAACAAAUACAUACUGGUUCAGUGAUAAUGAACACCAUACUAAACUCCAAAUUGUACACAAGAAAAUUAAAGUUAAAAUGAUACAAGACUAACAAAGGCCAGAGGCUCCUGACUUGGGACAGGCGCAAAAAUGCGGCGGGGUUAAACAUGUUUGUGAGAUCUCAACCCUCCCCCUAUACCUCUAGCCAAUGCAGAAAAGUAAACGCAUACCAAUACGUAUAUUAAAAUUCUGUCCAAGAGAAGUCCGA